rnacentral:snRNA from 1 species
UACCGCGAGGUAAAGAUGAAA